UACGUAGGGUGCAAGCGUUGUCCGGAAUUAUUGGGCGUAAAGAGCUCGUAGGCGGUCUGUUGCGUCCGCUGUGAAAACUCGGGGCUUAACCCCGAGCCUGCAGUGGAUACGGGCAGACUAGAGGUAGGUAGGGGAGAAUGGAAUUCCCGGUGUAGCGGUGAAAUGCGCAGAUAUCAGGAAGAACACCUAUGGCGAAGGCAGCACUCUGGGACGGUACUGACGCUGAGACGCGAAAGCGUGGGGAGCGAACAGG
rnacentral:rRNA from 1 species